CCCACCUCUCGUAACCAUCAAAGAAUAUUUUCUUCUCUGUUUAAACUAUUUCUCGAGUUCUUAUAAUAGUGGUCUCAUACAAUAUUUGUCCUUUUGCAACUGACUAAUUACACUCAACAUAAGGCUUUCGAGAUUCCUCCAUGUUAUGAAAUGUUUCACAGAUUCAUCACUGUUCUUUAUCGAUGCAUAGUAUCCCAUUGUGUGAAUAUACUAUAAUUUAUUUAUCCAUUCAUCCGUUGAUGGGCACCUUGGUUGCUUCCAUCUUUUUCCUAUUGUAAACAGUGCUGUGAUGAACAUGGGUGUGCAUCUAUCUGUUCGUGUAAGGGCUCUUAUUUCUCUAGAAUAUAUUCCAAGGAGUGGGAUUGCUGCAUUGUAUGGUAGUUCUAUUUCUAGUUUUUUAAGGAAGUGCCAAAUUGAUUUCCAAAGUGGUUGUACCAUUUUACAUUCCCACCAGCAGUGUAGAAGUGUUCCAGUCUCUCCACAACCUCUCCGACAUUUAUUAUUUUGUGCUUUUUGGAUUAAUGCCUUGUUGGCGUGAGAUGGAAUCUCAUUGUAGUUUUGAUUUGCAUUUCUCUAAUGGCUAAUGACUGUGAGCAUUUCCUCAUGUAUCUGCAAGCUGCCUCAAUGUCUUCUUUAGUGAAGUGCCUGUUCAUAUCCUUUGCCCAUUUUUUAAUUGGGUUAUUUGUCUUUUUGUAGUUGAGUUUUUGCAGCAUCAUGUAGAUUUUAGAGAUCAGGGGCUGAUCGGAAAUGUCAUAGCUAAAUUUUUUUUCCCAGUCUGUAGGUAAUCUUUUUACUCUUUUGGUGAAGUCUUUGGAUGAGCAUAGGUGUUUGUAAAUUUAAUUUUCUUAAGUUUAAACUAUAUGUUUAUGCUUGGAUAGUUGGGUGUUAAAGAUUAAAAGGUCUGAAAUACACAUGAAUAUAUAUUAUAAAUGCAUAAUGAUAACAAAAUGUACUUUCAUUGAUAUUUUUCUAAGGUGACACAUUAAAAAAAUUCUGUUCUCCUUUCUACUUGAUUUGAAGUAGCCUGUUAUUUUCUAGAAGACAGAUAUUGCAUUUUAUUGAUCUCAGAGUCCUCAACAGAGUCUAAUACAAUGGUUUAAGCUUGGUUAAAACACACACACAUACACACACACACAAAAAACAGUUGCCAUCAAGUUGAUUCCAACUCAUGGUGGCCCCGUGUGUGUCAGAGUAGAGCUGUACUCUAUAGGGUUUUCGAUGGCUGAUUUUUCAGAAGUAGAUCACCAGGCUUUUUUUUUCAAGGCACCUCUGGGUUGACUUGAAUCUCCAAUCUGUCAGUUAGCAGCUGAGUGGCUGAGUGUGUUAACCGUUUGUCCCAUAGCUAUUCCAUAAGUAUUUAUGACAUUAAAUUGACUUCCUGUUAAUGCUUUUUUUUUUUUUUUUAUUGGGAAGUAGAAUUGCAAAUCAGAUCACUUGAGAUUUUGUUCUGGGUUUAGAUGAUUCUAGGUCUUUUGGUCUGCAAGAAUGGUGCCCCUUAAGUUUGUACAGGGAAUGGGGCCUUGGCUCUAAGGUAAGGCCAAUGGACCAGGAAUGAGAGAAACUCUCCAUUCUUAUUAGGUAUUUCUGUUUUUCAAAGAUAGACUCAUGAUCUUCUAUGCUUUAUCGAAAUUAGUAAGCAUAACAUUUAUUCUGACAUUUGAUAUUUGAUAUGCAUAAGCUUGCCCUACUAUCUUCUAUUUCUAUGAGUGAUCUUUCCAAGAUGCAGAUCCAUGGCAUUCUUCUGUAGCUUCUUAUGGUUUCAGGAUAAAAAUCAUACCCUUUAGCAUUUUUAGCAUGGUUUGCCAUGAAUUACAGUAAGGUUCGUCUUUUGCUACUCUCCAGCUCCCCAGUUUAUUUUCCAGCCAUCCUGAAGUGCUCACAGUCUUCUAGUAAUCAUUCUCUAUGACACUUCUGUAGACCCCCUUGCACUGCAGAGGAGGGAAUGUUCCUUAAUGUAGGGGUAAAAUUCCAUGCAGCCUUCUCAUUUCUUUGGUUGGAGUAUAUUUUGAAGGGAAAAGGCAAUACUUCCUUCCUUCUUUCUCCAUCUCAGCAGGUUUUGAGUUAACAGAGAGAGCAGACAAUGUUUCUUUGUUCCCCUCAACAAAAACUUAGAAGGGAACUUUGGGAUUCAUUGAGUUAUAUGAUUCUCUUGGGUUAAUUGUUUUAAAUUGUGCUCUUCUAGAUCAAUGGCCCUUUUAAAUUGGGCAGUGGAAGCAUUUGUCUUUACAAUGUACGAAGAUACCACAUUUUUUUUUGUCUUGUAAUAGUUAAAAAAAAAAUAGUCAUUCCCCAUAGAAUAUAAAUAAUGGAUUUACAUGAAGGAGUUUACCUCCACAGAACCUUUAAACAGCCUUCAUGUUGUACUUCUGAUGCCUAAAAUACCAAACUUGAAACAAUAAAAGUAGAAAAUCCUUUUUAAUCAAAUUGGGGGAGGGACACUUUGAAAGCCUCCCCCUCUACAUUCCCUUACUUGUUCUUAGGAGGAAGGAAUCAGAAUGUCUGACAUGACUAGUUUUGGUUGCUUUUCUGUAACAGUAAUGCUAACGAAGUAGGAGUGAGUUAAAAGCUUCCUUUUCCAAGAAAUUACCACACUCCUAAGUGAACAGCCUCCCCUUUGCCCCCUCCCCGCUUGCUCACAAACUGGUGUGCCUGAGAUCGGGAAGUUCACUAACACCUCAUUGUGAGUGGGAAGAACAGAACAGAGCGCCAGGGAGCAGGGGAGGACGGGAGGUCAGUGCACUGACCCGGAUUCGGGGGGCUUUGGCUUGUGGAAAAACUUCGCCCAGCUCUGCCAGUUUUCUGUUGCGCGGUAUUGGGGUCUCUGCGCCCUCUGCUGGGCAGAGCAACAAGUAAGCUCCCCGCCGCACCUGGCCGCCUGAAUGUCAAUCUUUCCAUAACCAGGUGCAGAUUUUCCCCUCCCGGGUGACAAACUUCUUGACAAUGCUAUCCCAGUGUAAGAUGAUGAUCAUGAAAACCCAGGCUUGAGUUGUCUACGGCGCUUUGAAGUUUCGUUUGAGCAAACAGACAAGAAGCCAUUGUAUUUUCUACCCCCCAAUCAACUUCAUAGCUACCCAUUUCCUCUGAAUGUGGAAUGUGGCUUUAAUCUUCUUCUCAUGGCAUUCAACUCAAUGGCACAAGACACUAAAAUGUUAUAUAUUUAUGUCCAGGGUAAAUGCAGGCACAAGAAGAAUCAUCUAGUAACCUACAUUUUCCGUUUAACAUACAUAUGCCACAUUCUUUUGGGAGUUGAAGAUUUGACAUAUUUUAAUGGUUUUCCUUACGUUUAACAUAGCUCUUUUCAACAUUAGUAUUCUAAUUUCAGGGAUUAAAAAUGUAUUUGAAUUUCAUGCAUUUAUUUAGUUAUUCAGCAAACAUUGACAGGCACCUACGAUAUACCAAAUGAAUCUCUGGUGGCUCAGUGGUUAAAGCGGUUGGCUGCUAACUGAAAGGCCUUGAGUUCCAACCCACCAGCUGCUCCACUGGAAAAAAAUGUGGCAGUCUGCUUAUUUACAGCCUUGGAAACCCUAUAGGGCAGUUGUACUCUGUCCUGUAGAGUUGCUGUGAUUUGGAAUUAAUUCCAUGGCUGUGGGUUUGAAUUUUUUUUUUUUCACUAUAUACUAGACAUUGUGUAGAACUGGGAAGAGUACUAGGAGAUGGAGAAGGAAAGAGGAUAUCUAAACGCUUGAGAAGUUCAAUCUAGAGGAGGCUUAGACAUGCUAUAUAAAAAGGCAGUAAUAAAGGAAGAGACAAAUUGCUGAGGAAACAUGUUGUUGUUGCUAGGUGCGACCAAGUUGUUUCUGACUCACAGCAACCCUAUGGACAACAGAAGGAAACACUGCCUGGUCCUGCGCCAUCCUCACAAUCAUUGAUAGGCUUGAGCCCAUUGUUGUAGCCACUGUGUCAAUCCAUCUGGUUGAGGGUCUUCCUCUUUUUCGCUCACCCUCCACUUUACCAAGUAUGAUGUUCUUCUCCAGGGACUGGUUCCUCCUGAUAACAUGUCCAAAGUAUGUGAGACAAAGUCUCACCAUCCUUACUUCUAAGGAGCAUUCUGGUUGUACUUCUUCCAAGACAGAUUUGUUCAUUCUUUUGGCAGACCAUGGUAUAUUCAAUAUUCUUUGCCAACACCACAAUUCAAAGCCAUCGAUUCUUCUUUGGCCUUCCUUAUUCAUUGUCCAGCUUUCACAUGCAUAUAUAAAAAAGUGUUUUUUUUUUUUGCACAUGAAGUGAUUGAAAAUAUCAUGCUUUGGGUCAGGCACACCUUACUCCUCAAACUGACUUUGCUUUUCAACACCUUAAAAAGGUCUUUUGCCAGAUUUGCCCAGUGCAACACAUCGUUUGAUUUCCUGACUGCUGCUCCUAUGGGUAUUGAUUGUGGAUCCAAGUAAAAUGAAAUUCUUGACAACUUCAUCUUUUCUCCGUUUUUCUUAUGUUGGUUAUUGGUCCAGUUGUGAAGAUUCUUGUUUUUUUAUGUUGAGGUGCAAUCCAUACUGAAGACUGUAAUCUUUGAUCUUCAUCAGCAAGUGCUUCAAUUCCUCUUCACUUUCAGACAUGUGGGCGAGGAAACAUAGAGGUAGGAAUAACAACACUUUUACAAAGGGUCAGAAGUUAGGAUAUGCUUCACAGGAUGGUAAGAGAAUGGUGUUUGUCUGUUUGUCAGUUAGGCUAGGUAGACAGGAAAGAUUGUAAUUGUACGUUUCAAGAAAUGCUUGGUUUUGAGAAGCUGGAGUCCAGGAAGUGUAAUGUGGUGAGAGGUGAGGCUAGAGUGGGUAGUUUGGAGCCAGAUUGUGAAGUUUAGCAAGCUAAGCAGAUUGGAUUUUAUCCAGUUGGAGGUGGGAAAUCACCAAAAGACUGUAACAGAAGAGUUUGAUGGCUGCUUUUCAUUUUAGAAAUACCUCUCUGGAAUGCAUAGAGGGUGGGGAAUGCCAAAAUAGUGACAAGGAGCUAUUUAGGGAACUGUUACAAUAGAUAAGACAGAAGAUGAUGAUGACAUGAAGAAGGGCAAUGACAGUGAGGAUCCUAGAAAGAGGAUUAACUGAAAAGCUGUUUAAAGGGUGGAAACUGAUUGGACCUGGAGAAUGAGGAAGAAGGAAAAUUUGACUGGUGGAUCAUGAUAUCAGAAAGAGUGGAAAAAGUUUGGUAUAGCAAUAAUGAUGUGAUUUUGGGCAUGUUGAACUUAAGGUGACUGCAUUUAAGGAUGCCUACUAAAUAUGAGACUUGAGCUCAGAGAAAGGAAAUGGCCAGUGGGGGAGAUUUGGGAUUUACCAGCUGGGAGCCUGAGGAAUCAGUGAGAGCAUCCAGGAAGAGUCUCUGUGGAGAGAGAGCGGAAAGAGAGACAAAGACAGAGCACCUCCCACUUCUCUUCUACAUAGUAGAAUAAGAUGAAAAUUUCAUUACUCACUUUUUAAGUAUGAAAUGUUUUUGAUGAUGUGGAUUAGGGUAACAUUUUAUCUUAAUGAAAAACCCAUUCAAAAGUAAAUUAAAAAAAAAUUUCUUUUUUAACUCGUACGUGAUCACGCCUUCAUCUUGGAGUCUAUUAGUUUCAUUAUCUUGGAUUUAAUGACAAUGUAUGUUUCCAGAAAAAAAAAAAAAGCCAUAUUAAAUAAAAAACAAUGUAAAAAUAAACUCUAGAUGACCUUGAUAUAUUCAGGUUAAAGCCACAAUUAAGUUGUAUACCUGAUAAAGCAUCAAAGAUGGAGUUCUUUUUGGGAUGGGCUUUGGCAUGAAAAAUGGAGAAAGAUCUAAUUUGUUCUGAUCUUAAGAGGGAAAUCGACUUUCACUUUUAUCUAUAGUCAUAGGCAUAACUAGUUCUGAAAAAAGUCUCUUAACAAGGUGGGGGGAAUUUAGAGAUUGUGUAGUACAAUUCCAUCUUUUAGACAAGGAAACUACUGCACAUGAAAAGUUUGAGAAAUAUAAAGACUGCAUCCUAUGUCUCUUUGCAGAUUUGUAAUUCACAUUGUCACAUUAAAGGCUCUGAGAAGUUCUGCAGGAAAGAAAAUACUGAUUUUGUUUAACCUAGCAUUUCCUAGUCUUAUUUGAAUAAAAUACCAACCAAAUAUUUCCUAGAGUUUGAAUAAUGGUACUUUUAAGGGUUUCCUUUACAAUCAAGUGGACAGUGUAAGAUUUCAGAGUAUCAGUUCAGUUAGCAAACACUUUUUUUGGCCCCCUAAUUUUUAUAGACUCUGAGUUAGGCACUAAGGACACAUAGCUUAAUCAUAAAAUAAUAAUAAUAAUAGCAACAACAACAAUAAUAAUAGCUAGAACUUGGCGAGUGCUUACUAGGGGCCAGGGUUUUUGCCAAGUAUUUUACAUAUACUAUUUUUUUUUUUAUCUCAUCAAUUUUUUUUUUUUUUUUUUUAUCUCAUCUAGUCCUCACAACCGUGUAAGGGAGAUACUAGUUCCCAUUUUAGAGAUUAGGCAACUAAAGCCCAGAUAAUGAAGUGAUUUUCCAAAGGUCAUAGGCAUAGAGAAUGGCAGAACUGGGAUUCAAAAGUAGUUUUCAUCUGAUACCUAUGCCUACAUCCUUAACUACCAAAGUGCUGUCCUUGAAGACUUUAUGGCCUUAAGUAAUAUCCGUAAACAGUCCCAAGAUGGGCUUCAAGUAUUUCGACUUGAGGACCCCCAAUCUAUGAUUUCUAGUGUUAACCCCUGAUAUUCUGCAUUACACUGAAAUAUGUUCCUCAUUUAAUGGCAGCUAGGGCAAAAAAAAAAAAAAUUUUUUUUUUUUUUUUUUAGGGCAGCCCCUUUCCCUCCGACUCUGUAGCUCUUGGUAUAAAACAUCCCUUUGUUGGGACAUAGUAUCUCGUUUCUUCCACAUUACAUAAUGCAACAUACGUGAAGUGGAUCAGGAUAUAGCUAAUUUACAACUUUCCUAUAUGGUUCCUGAAUGUUCCUUUUCCUUUUUUUUUUUUUUUAAGUGGAAAAAAUGAGCGCUAUAUUUUAAAUCUUCUUUAUACACUCUAGGCAAUACUUAAGCAUUUAACUCUUAGCAAUUUGUGUUUUUAAUGGAAUAGGGUUUUCCUUUUGGGUCAUUUUCAUAGAGUAACUUUGGUUGUCCAAACAUACUCUGAAAUACAUUGGGGAUUAUGGUUUCAACACAUGUAAGCCUAAGGCCAAAGUAUGAGUAACACAUGAUAUUUUGUUACAUUUCAUGAACAAACCACUGUUUUGUGGUAUAAUACAAAACAUAGCUAAGUAGUUUAGAUCAGUAUCAGGCAUUACAAGGUUAGGUUUUCAAUUUAUGUGAUUACUCAAAGCUCAUUAGAAGUAUAUUCUCUAGCUCUAGGGAAUGCCGCCUAGAAAAUUGUGGUUUCCCUUGUGAAAAUGGUAUAUUUUUAGUCCAUUUAUUAUGUUUUUAGCUUAUCUCAAUUCUAUUCCUUUGUACUUUCAGUACAAUAGUUGAAUUCAUAAAUAAACUUACAAAGUCUAUUUUACCAGUAAGCCAAAAAGGGUAAAAAAAAAAAAGAAAAGAAAAGAAAAACACAUUAUUGUUAUUUAUUAACUUAAGCUCUGUCUUUAGAAUGUCACAAACUUUCUAUCGAUGAAGUGCUAAUAUUGCAAAUUAUAUUCUUUAAAUUCUACCAACUGCGAUGUGGUAAAAAAAAAAUAACCAGGAGUCCUAAUAUUUGCUCUAGCCUACACACUAGAAAGCCAGUUUGUCUUUCUGAUUUUUUAGUUUCUUCACUUAGAAAAGGGUCCUAGUAUUAUAUGCCUUGUAUGUGAAAGUUAUUUUCAGAUACAGUAUGAAUAAUAUAUGUAUCGUAUAUAUAUGGGAUCAAUUUACUUGCUAGCUUUGUGAUCUUGAGCUCGUUAUUUAACCUCAUUGAGCUUUGGUUUCCUCAUCUGUAAAACAAUGAUAAUCGUAGUGCCUACCUGGUAGAUUAUUGUGAGAAUUAAACUGGACAAUGUACGUAACACUGGAGACAGAAUCUGAUACGUGGUAGCUUCUCACUGCAUGCUAACUUUGUUCUCCUCUUCCUUAUAAAGAUUUCUAUCAUUUUAUUUUUUCACACACUAGUCCUUAAUUUUGUUUACGUGUGAAUACCUUCAAAAUCACACUUAAAACCCUUAAUAGAAAACAUGGAAAAAUAUGAAUUGUGAAUAUACAGCUGACACCUGAAGAAUUGGGCCUAAUUUGAUCCAGCAAACCUUUACUGAGCUCUUGGUAUGCAUAAUAUAUUGUACUGACUAAUGAGAGUUGAUCUCUUUCUGAAUUCUUGUUAAGUACACAUUUCAAGAUAGGUCAUUUUUCUUUUAGCAAAAUAAGAAUGCGUAAUCAGUAAUGUAAGAGUCAUUACUUAGCGAUAAUUCAUUUCCUUUGGUUUAAAAUGGAAGUACUGACUAUAUUUUCACAACUGAAAUACUGUGUACGGGGCCUUUCCUCUAGAGGGAUUAUAGAGGUCUUGGAGAAAAGGGCAGCAGGAUGUUGUCCCCAAGGAGACAAAUGUGAAGGAAACAAAUUUGUAUACCAUCAAUUUGUGAGUCUUAACUAGGCACACAUUUAUUGAAAUAUUCUUAUAUGUAAUUUUGGAAUAGUCAUUUAAAUGUGGCUGUAUGUCUCUAAUCCCUUUAAUUCGUGGAGACCUUUUCUCUUUUUGCUUUGGCCAUGAGGAAGCUUAAAGCUAAAUCUGUGGCCCAAUUUUAUUCGUCUUACGAUACUUUAGCUUGUGUCUUGGGCCUUAUUUAUCUUGGCCCUGAUUUUGUUAUUUGUCUUUUAUAUUUAUUUUUAAAUUUUAUUGUGUUUCAGGUGAAAUUUACAGCACAAAUUAGUUUUUCAUUCAAAAAUUUAUACACAAAUUCUUUUGUGACAAUGGUUGCAAUCCCUGCAAUGUGUCAGUGCUCUCCCCCUUUCCACUCCAUGUUCCCCUUGUCCCAGGGGCUGAUUAACAAGUAGUGUGGUAUGCAGCGGCUUGCUUUAAGCAAGGUACACACUGACUUAAUUUUAUUUACUUACUAAUCUGUGGUGAGCAAUUUCACAUGGGUUUUACCAUAUCUUUGAUAUGGUGGGGAACAGGUGAAAUUGUGCACUGCAGAUUGGUGGGAAGACACAAUUGGGCCCUUGCAUACCUUGAUAAUAUGGCCCUGCCAUGUCCCUUGGCCCAGUUUUCCUGUCCCCUCUUGCCUUCUCAUCUUGCUUUUAGGCAAGAGUUGCCCAUUUGGUCUCAUAUACUUGAUUGAACUGAGAAGCACAUUUCUCACAUGCGUUAUUGUUUGUUUUACAGGCCCAUCUGAUUUUUUUGGCUGAAAAGCGAGCUUAGGGAGUGGCUUCAGUUCUGUUAGCAGGGUGUCUGGGGGCCACAGUCUCGGAGGUUCCUCUAGUCUCUGUCAGACCAGUGAGUCCGGUCUAUCUUUGUGAAUUUGAAUUUUGUUCUACAUUUUCCUCCUGUUCUGUCUGAGACCUUCUAUUGUGAUUUGUGUCAGAGUGGUGCUGGUAGCUGGGUACCAUCUAGUUCUUCCAGGCUCAGGGCGAUGGAAGCUGUGAUUCAUGUGGUCCUUUAGUCCUCUGGACUAGUAUUUUCCUUUUGUCUUAGGUUUUGUUAAUUUUUCUUUGCUCUGGACCAGGUGGGAUCAAUAGAUGUAUCUUAGAUGGCUGCUUGCAAGCUUUUAAGAACCCAGACACUACUCACCAAAGUAGGAUGUAGAACAUUUUCUUUAUGAACUAUGUUAUGCCAGUUGACCUAGAUGUCUCCCGAGACCAUGGUCCACAGCCCUCAGCCCCACCAAUUUGGUUGCUUGAGGUAUUUGGAUGUGUCUAGGAAAUUUCUACGACUUUGCCUUGGUCAAUUUGUGCUGACUUCCUCUGUGUCGUGUGUUGUCUUUCCCUUCACCAAAGUUGACACUUGCCUACUACUUAGUGAUCUCUUCUACCAACCUCUCCCCUCCCUCAUAACCAUCAAAGGUUGUUUUUUUCUGUGUGUAAACUUUUUCUUGAGUUUUUAUAAUAGUGGUCUCAUGCAAUAUUUGUCCUUUUGUUAUUGACUUAUUUCACUCUGCAUAAUGGCCUCCAGAUUUAUCCAUGUUGUGAGAUGUUUUGGAGAUUCAUCAUGGUUCUUUAUCAAUGCAUAAAUAUUCCAUUGUGUGCGUGUAUCAUAAUUUGUUUAUCCAUUCAUCUGUUGAUGAGCAUCUAGGUUAUUUCCAUGUUUUUGCUAUUGUGAACGGUGCUGCAGUGAACAUGGGUGUGCAUAUGUUUAUUCAUGUGACGCCUCUUAUUCCUCUAGGAUAUAUUCCUAGGUGUGGGAUUGCUGGAUAGUAUGGUAUUUUUAUUUCUAGCUUUUUAAGUAGGCACCAUAUCAUUUUCCACAGUAGUUGUACCAUUUUACAUUCCCACCAGUGGUGCAUAAGAGUUCCAAUCUCCCCACAACUUUCCAGCAUUUAUUAUUUUCUGUUUUUUUGAUUGGUGCCAGUAAUAUUGGGAUGAGAUGGUGUCUCACUGUAGUUUUGAUUUGAAUUUCUUUAAUGGCUAAUGAUUGGAGGAAUUUCCUCAUAUGUCUGUUAGCCACCUAAAUGUCUUCUUUGAUGAAAUGUCUGUUCAUAUUCUUUGCCCAGUUUUUAAUUGUUUGUCUUUUUGUUGUUGAGGUACUGAAGUAUUUUGUAGAUUUAGGGAUUAGACCCUGGUUGGAUAUGUUGUUGCCAAAAAUUUUUCCCCAUUAGUAGGUUCUCUUUUUGCUGUUUUAGUAAUGUCUUUUGAUGAGCAUAAGUGUUUAAUUUCUAAAAGCCUCCAGUUAUCAAGUUUAUCUUCUGGUGUUUGUGCAUUGUUAGUUAUGGCUUGUAUUGUAUUUAUGUCAUGUCAUGUAAUAUUGUUCUUAUUUUUUCUUCCAGGAUCUUUAUUGUUUUUGAUUCAUUUUGAGUUAGUUUUUAUGUAUGGUGUGAAGUAUCGAUCCUGUUUCUUUUUUUUUAGAUAGACUUUCAGUUACGCCAGCACCAUUUAUUAAAAAGAUUGUGUUUUUCCCAUUUAACGGACUUUGGCCCUUUGUCAAAUAUCAGCUGCCCGUAGGUGGAUGGAUUCAUGCCUGGGUUCUUGAUUCUGUUCCAUUGGUCUAUGUAUCUAUUGUUUUACCUGGCUGUUUUGACUACUGUGACUAUCUAGUAGAUUCUAAUAUCAGGUGGUAUGAGGCCUCCCAUUUUGUUUUUCUUGUUCAGUAACGCUUUACUUAUCCAGGGCCUCAUCUGUCUUUUAUUUUAUUGUCUGUUCAUGGUCCAGAAACCUUAUUUAGAGUGUCAGAAACCUAAAUUCUCUAGAGAAACACUAAAAAUUAGUGUAACAGAAUAUAUAUAUCAUGAGUAGCUAUGAUUUGAAUUAGGCAGAGUCACCCAAACUUGUUGGGAAGGUGUUCCAAAAAGACAGUGAAAGUGGGUUGUAUAAGUCAUUGUUACAUUAAUUUCUCAAAAGAUGGCAUCAAAGCACAGGGCAGAUGAUAGAAACAGUCACCGAGGACAUGCGAUACGUCCUAAAACAGCCUAUAGUCAGACCCUGGAUCUGCUGUUUCUCCAAGCUGACUGAACAUAGAUAACUUUCCAAAAGAAUUCAAUGUCUAAGGCAAAACACCCUCUGCUAAGCUGCUUACUAAACUUUUGUUUGACCUGAAGGUGAUGCCAGAGAACCAGUUCCUUCAAGGUUCAAAAAGAUACCUAAGGGCAGAUGGCCUGUAUGGGUCACUGCCAUUCUAUGAAUCCAAACUCUGGAUUCCAGGAGAAUCAAAAUCAUUUUGUUAAGUGAAAGGUAGUAUUAAUAUAAAUACAUAAAUGAAUAAAUAUAUAGGGGAAAAAAUAUAGGAAAACCUUUUGUUUGAAAAGAUCUGGUUCCCAAAUGAGCCAGACGUCUGACAUGUACAGGGUAAGAAAAACAUGGGUCAGCUUACACCUCAUCUGCUCCCCCUUGAAAACUGCAUUUGUUUUGGCAAACCCCAAACUGAGUUUUUGGAAAUGGGGUAUUCUGAGAAGAGACUAGCAAAUCCUCAUGAUUCUGGAUUGCUCCUGGGAUCAGAGUGCUGGUUUGAACAAUGAUCCUGAUUUUUAACAGCUUUUUUUUUUUAUUGUGUGUGGCUCCACUUUGGGCUGGGGGGAUUUAUUUGUUCUUAUGACUUCACAUUCCAUCAUGAGCCUCCAUGUUGGCCCAUGUCAGUUGAAGAUUAACUAUGGUAAUUCUCAAGGCAACUGUGUGCAUGUUAGAGUUUCCAUGUAGAUCAACAUGCCUUCUCUGACCCAGAACCCAGGGCUGGGGAUGGAAGUGGAAUUUGUGGAAGGGCACACACCUUAGACAUUCCCCUAGAGCUAGCUUGGUUCUGGCACAAGGCCUUGACUGCCCACUGUUAACAGGAUAAGUGGGCAACUUCUUGUAUGUUCGUUCUACGAUUUCUGGCUCUCUUCUACAUUUUUAUAGUUAGGGUACAUCAGAUUUAGUAAUAAAACUCCAGAAGGACCAUAUGCUUUGAGAUAUAAUUCCUUUUCCAAUACUGAAAAUGAAAAGGCUACUUAUGAGGCUGUGAAUCUGUAAACAAUCAGUCAUUCCCUUGUUCAAAGUAAAAGCUAGUUAGCAUAAUUUAUUAGCAAAUUCAGUUUUCUGUAAAGUGCCAUUCAUAUUCCCAUAAAAAAAAACUCUGUAUCAAAAUGGUAAGUAAUGACUUAUUCAAAGUAAUACCCAAGGAAGUUUUCCAUUUUAUAUCAUUGAUGGUGGGAUAUGAUUGAAAGGGGCACAAAACAUAUUGGAUGUCCUUUCACAAACUGUAAAAAGUAGAGUUACUGGAUCUUUAUGUGGAGUAUUGGUUUUAUUUUAAAUAAAAUGCUCUCCCUACAUCACAUGUACCCCAUUAUUUCUUUUGGGGCAAUAAUCCUAUGAGAGGAAAACCACAAGAUACACAGAGUUAAGUAAGAUUGCCUACUAGUAGUAGGAGGAGGAGAAACCCUAGUGGUGCAACAGUUAAGCGCUUGGCUACUAACCAAAAGGUUGGUAGUUCGAACCCACCUGGUGUCUCCAUGGGAGAAAUGCGUGGUGAUCUGCCUCUGUAAAGAUCACAGCCAAGAAAACCCUCUCGGGCAAUUCUGCUCUGUCACAUGGGAUUGCGGUGAGUCAAAAUCAACCCGACAGCACCUAACAACAACAACAGUCAGGAGGAGCCCUGGUUGUGCAAUGGUUAAGCUCAGCGCUAACUGAAAGGUUGGCCGUUUGAACCCACCCAGCAGCUCCAUGGGAGAAAGACCUGGUGAUAUGAUCCUACGCUACAGCCUAGAAAACCCUGUGGGGCAGUUCUACCCUUUCACAUGGGGUUGCUAUGAGUUGAAAUCGACUCGCCAGCACCUAACAACAACAACAGCAGUAAUCGUAUAUUAGUAACAAUACUACUAUUAAUAAUUAGUAACAGUACUACUAUUAAUCAUACAAACUUUUCUGAGUAUAUUACAUAUAUAAUCUCAUUUAAACUUCAUCAUCCUAUAGGGCAAGUAUUAUUAUUAUCUCCAUUUCACAACCCUAUAAGGCAGGCAUUUUUAUUAUCCUCAUUUUAUAGGUGAAGAAACUAAGGUGCAGACAAGCAAAGAAAUUUCUCCCAGGUUACAUAGCUUUUAAGUAGUAAAGCUGGUCUUCUGAUCUGGGCAGCCUGCAUAUAUAUAAAGUUGCUGUUUUAACCACUAGGCUAGAGUUGCCUCCCUAGUUAUUUUGUAUUGUUUUUAUUUUAUAACUUAUGUAAGCAGUGCUAGAAACCUUGGUUUUUAAAUAAUUUUUACAAUACACCACUGAUUGGUAACAUCAUCCGUAAAUCACAAUAAUGAUCAUUAUAAUCUAUUAUGAAGUUUGUGUGUGUAUGUGACGUGUCUGAUAACUAACAUUUAUUGAAUACUUACAAUAUGUCAGGCCUUGUCAAAGUGCUUUACAUGCAUUAAAACAUUUAAUUCUACUAUUAUUUAGGUUCUAUUUGGAAUAAUAACAGUAUCUUUUUUUUAUCUCAUAGGUUAUUGUGAUGAUUAGAUAUGCUAAUAUAUGCAGAGUACUUUGAAAUGCAUGAGAUAUAGUAAGUGGUCAAUAAAUGUUAAUAGUUAUUAUCUUUUAUCUUACAGACAAGGAGCCUGAGACUUUAGUAAGGUUAAAUUCUUGCUCACAGGUACUCAGCUGUUCAGAAGCAGAGCCAGACUUUGAACCCGGCAGUCAUGUUGCAGAGUCCACACUCUUAACUACCACACAAGCAAGAAAAAUCAGGGUAUUUAUGAAGUAUACUGUCUUAGGCUACGUUCUCCAGAGAAGCAAAACCAGUAAAGCGUAUAAAUAUAUAGAGAGAGAUUUAUAUCAAGGAAACAGGUCACGCAACUGUAGGGGUUGGAAUGUCCCUAGUCCUUGGAUCAGGAAAGAGUCCUUUCCCAAUUCACGGAGCCGCAGAAGCUGGUGAACCCAAGAUGAGCAGGUUGGAGAGCCGGGAUCUCGUUCACAGGUUGUGACGGUCGAGGAAUCCCCAAGAUUGGCAGGCAAGACCACAAGGUUUCUCCUGAUUCACGUAGCUGCAGGGUCUGGCAAACCCAAGAUAGGCAGGUUGGGAGCAGGACUCUUGCUUGCAAGCUGUGAAGAUCGACGAAUUCCAAGAUGGACAGAGACACCAUGGAAGCCCCACAUUGGAUUGGAGGCUCUUUGGAAUACCUUGCAUAUUCCUUCUUAAAGUAGGUUGAGGAAUAAAUGGGAAGCAAGAAACUGAAGACGCAUAAGGAGGACACAUUACAAAAAAUAAACAAAACCCAAAAGUUGGCUGGCAAUAUUUGGAGGAAAUGAGGGGGAAGGACUGCAUUAGAUACACAAGAAACAAAUAACAAAAUGGCCAAAGUAAGUUCUUCUUUAAUAGUAAUUAUCAUGAAUGUAAACAGAAUAAAUGCUCCGAUCAAAAUGCAGAGAGUUGCAAAAUGGAUUAAAAAAAAUAAACAAGAUCCUACCAAAUGCUGUCUACCAUAGACAUGUCUUAGUCUCAAGGAUGCAAAUAGUUUGAAAGUGAAAGGAUGGUUACUAUUUUCCAUGCAAAUAGACUUUAAGUCAAAAUCUGUUAUAAGAGACAAAGUAGGACAU